rnacentral:rRNA from 1 species
ACCCGCUGAACUUAAGCAUAUCAAUAAGCGGAGGAAAAGAAACCAACAGGGAUUGCCCUAGUAACGGCGAGUGAAGCGGCAACAGCUCAAAUUUGAAAUCUGGCUUCGGCCCGAGUUGUAAUUUGUAGAGGAAGCUUUAGGCGCGGCACCUUCUGAGUCCCCUGGAACGGGGCGCCAAAGAGGGUGAGAGCCCCGUAUAGUUGGAUGCCUAGCCUGUGUAAAGCUCCUUCGACGAGUCGAGUAGUUUGGGAAUGCUGCUCAAAAUGGGAGGUAAAUUUCUUCUAAAGCUAAAUACCGGCCAGAGACCGAUAGCGCACAAGUAGAGUGAUCGAAAGAUGAAAAGCACUUUGAAAAGAGGGUUAAAUAGCACGUGAAAUUGUUGAAAGGGAAGCGCUUGUGACCAGACUUGCGCCAGGCUGAUCAUCCGGUGUUCUCACCGGUGCACUCUGCCCGGCGCAGGCCAGCAUCGGUUCUCGCGGGGGGAUAAAGGCUCCGGGAACGUAGCUCCUCCGGGAGUGUUAUAGCCCGGGGCGUAAUGCCCUCGCGGGGACCGAGGACCGCGCAUCUUGCAAGGAUGCUGGCGUAAUGGUCACCAGCGACCCGUCUUGAAACACGG